rnacentral:rRNA from 1 species
UACGGAGGGGGCCAGCGUUGUUCGGAAUCAUUGGGCGUAAAGGGCGCGUAGGCGGCCACGCAAGUCGGAUGUGAAAUCCCUCGGCUCAACCGAGGAACUGCAUCCGAAACUGCGAGGCUCGAGUCCUGGAGAGGGUAGUGGAAUUCCCAGUGUAGCGGUGAAAUGCGUAGAUACUGGGAGGAACACCGGUGGCGAAGGCGGCUACCUGGACAGGUACUGACGCUGAUGCGCGAAAGCGUGGGGAUCAAACAGG